GAAUCUUGUUUACCUGAGGCCUUCUGAAGAAUGUAAAACAUGGGAAAAGUGACAGAGCAGAACUUGGAGAUGCUUGGUGGAAUUUGUCUUCAUUUUUUGAACAUGUGUGAGUUGUCAGUGUCCCCGCUCCAUGUGGCAGAGGUGGAGGAGCCCAAGAUUGUCAAGUGCAUCAGGGAUACUUCUGGUGAGACUGCUGCUUGCCCUAAGCACGUCCAGAGCUGUGUGACAGCAGGGUGAUCUUGUCACAGCCUGCGUAGCGCCCCACCAGCAAAAGCUUCUGGGAGGUAACUUGAAUAUCUGAGCAGAUCUGUUCUAGCCAACCCUUUGUGCUGUACCUGAACACGUAUUUAGACACGCAGAGAUGCAAGGUCACUUCUAUUGGUCUUUUGAUGACCAUGGGGUGACUCUGAACAUGCUGUCCUGGCAGCUUUGUGGCUGAGGUGAUCUCA